UCCCCCUCCCUCCCUCCUCCCUUUUCCCCGCUCUAGCUCGGCCGCCAGCUCCGGCCUCGGCUCCCCCUCAUAGAACCCCCUCCCCGGAGUGGAGCCCAUCGGAGGGUCCCUCUCCCGCCCCUCUGCCCGCCGCCCGCCAGAACAGCAGCCCCGGGGGGCAGCCCCCACCAGCCUGCCUCCCUCCAGCUCAGCCCUGCCAGAGCCCCCCCAGCCAUGAAUCUCUUCCGAUUCCUGGGAGACCUCUCCCACCUCCUAGCCAUCAUCUUGCUACUGCUUAAAAUCUGGAAGUCCCGCUCGUGUGCCGGGAUUUCAGGGAAGAGCCAGGUUCUGUUUGCUGUGGUGUUCACUGCCCGCUACCUGGACCUCUUCACUAACUACAUCUCACUUUACAACACGUGCAUGAAGGUGGUCUACAUAGCCUGCUCUUUCACCACGGUCUGGAUGAUUUACAGUAAGUUCAAAGCCACUUACGAUGGGAACCACGAUACGUUCCGGGUGGAGUUCCUCGUCGUCCCCACAGCCAUCCUGGCAUUCCUGGUCAACCACGACUUCACUCCUCUGGAGAUCCUCUGGACCUUCUCCAUCUACCUGGAGUCAGUGGCCAUCUUGCCACAACUGUUCAUGGUGAGCAAGACUGGCGAGGCGGAGACCAUCACGAGCCACUACCUGUUUGCCCUGGGCGUCUACCGCACCCUGUAUCUCUUCAACUGGAUCUGGCGCUACCACUUUGAGGGCUUCUUCGAUCUCAUCGCCAUCGUGGCUGGCCUGGUCCAGACUGUCCUCUACUGCGAUUUCUUCUACCUCUAUAUCACCAAAGUCCUAAAGGGGAAGAAGCUAAGCUUGCCGGCGUAGCCCUGGUCCUCACCAGCCCUCUCCUCGGCAGUGUCGGGAGGCAGAGGAAGGUGACAGAAGACGAGCCUUCCCGUCCAGGGAGGCCUGGGAGGAGCAGGAAGAUGAGAAAUGGGGUUUUCCAAGACUCAGCUGCACCCUGAUUCUUACGGCUCUGCUGGGGAAGAGGUUUUGGAGAAAAUCUUGAAGAUUGUAAGAAUCUUGCCGUAGAAACUGCCUGAUGGCCCUCCAGACCCUCAGGGCUGCGGAGGACUCUCCAGAACACGUAUGUCAGAGGCCACAAGUGGGCAGCCCCUGGCCCGCCCGCCCUCGAAUGGCACUGUGAUGCAUUUUGUUGAGCCACAUGGUGUUUUUUUCUGAAAAAGAAUGGGUCACCAGCCUUUCAAAACCAGAUUUUCACUUUGAAGUCUGGAUUUCUGGCUUCUCUUAAAAAGAGAGCUGUCAGCCUGACGGUGCUGGGCCUGCACUUCUGGACUGCAGCAGAUGGCAGGCACUGAAUGGAGGGGAUGUGAGCAUUUCACCACGGUCCCCAGGACUUGGCUGUGGAGCUGCUGUAGUUUAUUAUUGGGCUGACACCAUGUGUCUUGUUUGUUUUGUUUUGAUUGUGUAGCGUUAAAAGGCAAAUGAAAUAUUUUCUAGGUCUCUCUGGAUUGGCUUCACACCUGGCCUGUUUCCUGCCCUUAGGUAACCUGUCUCGCUCUUGUAAACAUUUAGAUUUGACCCUCGUUUUAGUCAGACUUCUGUAUGAGAACUUCCUAACUCUGCUCAGCUGCCUCCAGAUCUUCUGCAGGAUAACCAUGGAAGCUUCAGGAGGCAGGGAGCUGGCAUUUCCUGAGUCCUUAAUAGGUACCAGGCCCUGUGCAUCACCGGGAUAAGCUCAUUGACCCUUAUCCUCCCUAAAGAGGGGGCUCUUUAUAGAUGAAGAAACUGGCUUGGUGGGGUAAGGGCAAAGAUGGAGUUUGCAUAUGCAGUUCCUGACACCAGAGCCUUUGUGUUUAACUGCUUCUGUGUGUUUUUAGCACAUCCCCACCCCCCCGCCGCCCGUGCCCUUUUAAGCCAAGGGACCUCUGUUUAGAAGCCUGGUAUUGGAAACACAGGAGCAGGGCCACCUGAGUGAACUGUGGGGUAAGGGCGGUAUCCCUGCCUGUUCAGCCCUAGGCACCUCUUUGAACCCAAUCUGAAAACUGCCUGUCUAAAUCAGAUCCAAUUCUUUAGUUGUAAGCCAAUAUAACUCACCCCAGAGAAGUUAAGUGACACACCUGAGACCAUCCAGCUGGUGACAGAAUGAGGAGCAAAGGCUCAGAACCCCAUUUCCCAGGUCAGAGUACUUCCUGUCCCACUGCACUGUGGCCAUUUUCUGUAGAUGCCCAUGGGGACCGUGUUGUAUUUAUUUCUGUACCUCCAGAACCAAGUACAGGGCCUGGUACACAUGAAGCCUCAAAAAAGAGACCAAUGGAACCCAAAGUUGACUCCCCACAACCCACAUCCCUUUGUCCAGUUUGGAAACAAAUGUUCUGCAGCUGCAGUGGCCCCCUGUGUAGGUGUGUUUUGUUUGGCCUGCACACAGUGAUCACUUUUUUUUUGUAUCUGUUGCCCCUAAUUUCACACUAAAACACAUACACACACGCACACA